AGGGAAGUCUCUAUUUUAUCCAUAUAAAUGUGUGUGAAUGUGUUUUUCAUUGGAUGAGUUUGUUAGAAAAAAAGAAUGUUAUCAUGUAUGAACCACAUACAGAUUAAAUUUAUGAAAAAGUAUUAUGCUCACAGUUUUAUUAAAAAGUAUUAUGCUCACAGUAUACAAAAUUUAAGAUUUCAUAAUUUUGUUACAAUUGCCUUUGUCUAAUACAUGAGGCUUACUUGACACAUGAAGGUCUUCCACUUUCUUUUUGAAGCUAUUUCUCUAUAAUUUCUUUGACUACUUUA
rnacentral:misc_RNA from 1 species